rnacentral:rRNA from 1 species
CCUACGGGUGGCAGCAGUCGAGAAUCAUUCACAAUGGGGGAAACCCUGAUGGUGCGACGCCGCGUGGGGGAAUGAAGGUCUUCGGAUUGUAAACCCCUGUCAUGUGGGAGCAAAUUAAAAAGAUAGUACCACAAGAGGAAGAGACGGCUAACUCUGUGCCAGCAGCCGCGGUAAUACAGAGGUCGCAAGCGUUGUUCGGAAUCACGGGGCGUAAAGCGUGCGUAGGCUGUUUCGUAAGUCGUGUGUGAAAGGCGCGGGCUCAACCCGCGGACGGCACAUGAUACUGCGAGACUAGAGUGAUGGAGGGGGAACCGGAAGUCUCGGUGUAGCAGUGAAAUGCGUAGAUAUCGAGAGGAACACUCGUGGCGAAGGCGGGUUCCUGGACAUUAACUGACGCUGAGGCACGAAGGCCAGGGGAGCGAAAGGGAUUAGAUACCCUUGUAGUC